UCUUUCCGGAAUUGAGUGGCAAACGGGUGAGUAAUGCGUAUGCAACUUGCCUAUCAGAGGGGGACAACAGUUGGAAACGACUGCUAAUACCGCAUGACACAUAGGUGUCGCAUGGCACUUAUGUCAAAGAUUUAUCGCUGAAAGAUGGCCUCGCGUCUGAUUAGCUAGUUGGUGAGGUAACGGCCCACCAAGGCGACGAUCAGUAGCCGGACUGAGAGGUUGAACGGCCACAUUGGGACUGAGAUACGGCCCAGACUCC
rnacentral:rRNA from 1 species